rnacentral:hammerhead_ribozyme from 1 species
UAAUUGUUGAGGAGUCCCAUAAUAGAACGAAACGGCCGUCCAAUGC